GGAAAUGAUAAACUACUUCCAGAUCCUACCAAUAAAACUGCAGGGAAUUCUGUAGGCAGUUUCCAGGACUCAAGACUGACUCAAAAGCUGCAUCUUCAAUCUAAACGUCUAAAGGAAAAGUAUGCAGAAUACUUGCAUUUCGGUUUCAAUAGAUGAAGAUGAUAAAUACAACAGAAAACUCUGUGAGCUGUCAGAUUCAAUGAAGGAUUCAUUUUUUUUUCCUACAUCUUUUCACCAUCUGGAAAACUUGAAGUAGAAGAAACUAGAAUUCUACUACCUCAUUUUGCACAAGGAUCAGAUCACCCUUUCCCAAGAUUAAGUGUUCUGCAACUGUAUUUUUUUCUUAUAUUUAAUAUAUAUGG